rnacentral:rRNA from 1 species
CACGGGGGGAGCAAGCGUUGUUCGGAAUCACUGGGCGUAAAGGGCGUGUAGGCGGUCAGGUAAGUGAGAUGUGAAAUGCCCCGGCUCACCCGGGGACCGGCAUCUCAUACUGCUUGGCUUGAGUACGGGAGAGGAUGUGGGAAUUCCUGGUGUAGCGGUGAAAUGCGUAGAUAUCAGGAGGAACACCGGUGGCGAAGGCGGGUCUCUGGGCCGAUACUGACGCUGAGGAGCGAAAGCGUGGGGAGCGAACAGG